AUGGAUAUGGUCUUGUGAAAACGUUGUGCUCUGAGCUGAAAGAUUUCAUGAGAAAGCACAACUUUUCAUCAAUAGAAGAUUUCAGGGGAACGUCACUUGAGUACUUCACGACACACACAGAUUUGGUGAGAAGGCAGCAAGAAGCAAUACGUCAAAGGAAAGCAGUUAAGAAAGGUUUACAAUCAGACAAAGACUGGACAGGAGAUGGCUUUGUGCAAGAAACUGAAAGCAUGGUUUCCAAUUAGACUUGAAAACCUCUAAAUGCACUUGUCAUCUCAUAUUGUAGAUUAUGAAUAAAUCAAUCUCUUUCAUAUAUCUGACUGGAUUGGUGUAUAGUGACUUUGACCUCUUUCUUGUUCUUUGCUUAUAGGACUUUCACAACUCUUGUUUUCAUUUGUGUUAUCUUUUAACUUAAUUCAAAAUACUAGUGUUUAUGA
rnacentral:misc_RNA from 1 species